AUGAUUGGUGCACACAACAAUAGUGAAGUUCCUUCAACUUUUCUGCAGGAGGAAAGUAUUGGAUUGUCAUUACCUCUCUUUCAACCUGACAAGGGUGAUCCAUCUCAUUCCAGAAAUCAAGGACAGGUAUUUCAUCCUGAUCCUUUUCAUUUUUCAGCUUGUCUGGAAAAGCAACUUCCAAAGCCAGAUCCAGAUUCUAUUAUUGGAUUUAUGGAUAAGCCAGAAAAACAGGAAAGUCAUUCUGAAGAACUGUCAUCACACCAUCCAAGUAAACCACAAGAAAAUAGUCAACGAUGGAGUACAAGUGAAAAUGAAGUGAACUGGCUGAAACAAGAUACUCUAAAUGAACAGACUGAACUGGAGAGAAAACUUCAGGAAGCUGAGAUUGCAGCUAAUUCUGUAGUGUCACUGAUACCAUUAUUUAAAGACUUCCUUGCUGGGUUUAAUAGUGAAAGUGUGAGCAGUUCAGUUGACAUAUUGAAGGCCAAGUUAGCUGAUAAUGAACGUGAAAAUAAUGUAAGUUCUUUCCUUCUAUCUUUGUCUCUCUUAUUUUGCUGCCUUGUGUAUUAUUUAAUUUUGUAA
rnacentral:lncRNA from 1 species